AGUUUGAUCCUGGCUCAAGAUGAAUUUUGGGGGCGUGCCUAAUACAUGCAAGUCAAACGAAUCUUCUUCGGAAGAUGAGUGGCGAACGGGUGAGUAAUACAUAGGUAACCUGCCCCUGUGCGGGGGGGAUAACAGGAGGAAACUCCUGCUAAUACCGCAUAGCCAUGAGCACCGCAUGGAGCUCAUGCCAAAUAUCCUUUCGGGGAUAGCGCAGGGAUGGACCUAUGGCGCAUUAGCUGGUUGGCGGGGCAACGGCCCACCAAGGCAACGAUGCGUAGCCGGCCUGAGAGGGCGGACGGCCACAUUGGGACUGAGACACGGCCCAGACUCCUACGGGAGGCAGCAGUAGGGAAUUUUCGGCAAUGGGGGAAACCCUGACCGAGCAACGCCGCGUGAGCGAAGAAGGCCUUCGGGUCGUAAAGCUCUGUUGUAAAGGAAGAACGGCGCAUACAGGAAAUGGUAUGCGAGUGACGGUACUUUACCAGAAAGCCACGGCUAACUACGUGCCAGCAGCCGCGGUAAUACGUAGGUGGCGAGCGUUAUCCGGAAUCAUUGGGCGUAAAGAGGGAGCAGGCGGCCGCAAGGGUCUGUGGUGAAAGACCGAAGCUAAACUUCGGUAAGCCAUGGAAACCGGGCGGCUAGAGUGCGGAAGAGGAUCGUGGAAUUCCAUGUGUAGCGGUGAAAUGCGUAGAUAUAUGGAGGAACACCAGUGGCGAAGGCGACGGUCUGGGCCGCAACUGACGCUCAUUCCCGAAAGCGUGGGGAGCAAAUAGGAUUAGAUACCCUGGUAGUCCAUGCCGUAAACGAUG
rnacentral:rRNA from 1 species